rnacentral:rRNA from 1 species
GAUGAACGCUAGCUACAGGCUUAACACAUGCAAGUCGAGGGGAAACGAUAUUGGAAGCUUGCUUCUGAUAGGCGUCGACCGGCGCACGGGUGAGUAACGCGUAUCCAACCUGCCCAUCACUUGGGGAUAACCUUGUGAAAGUAAGACUAAUACCCAAUGACGUCUCUAGAAGACAUCUGAAAGAGAUUAAAGAUUUAUCGGUGAUGGAUGGGGAUGCGUCUGAUUAGCUUGUUGGCGGGGUAACGGCCCCACCAAGGCGACGAUCAGUAGGGGUUCUGAGAGGAAGGUCCCCCACAUUGGAACUGAGACACGGUCCAAACUCCUACGGGAGGCAGCAGUGAGGAAUAUUGGUCAAUGGACGAGAGUCUGAACCAGCCAAGUAGCGUGCAGGAUGACGGCCCUAUGGGUUGUAAACUGCUUUUAUAAGGGAAUAAAGUGAGUCUCGUGAGACUUUUUGCAUGUACCUUAUGAAUAAGGACCGGCUAAUUCCGUGCCAGCAG